GAUGAACGCUAGCGGCAGGCUUAACACAUGCAAGUCGAGGGGCAGCGGGGAGGAAGCUUGCUUUCUCCUGCCGGCGACCGGCGCACGGGUGAGUAACACGUAUGCAACCUGGCCGUCACAGGUGGAUAACCGGAAGAAAUUCCGACUAAUACAGCAUAACACUCCUGAGGGACAUCCUUCGGGAGUCAAAGGAGGCGACUCCGGUGACGGAUGGGCAUGCGGCGCAGUAGGUAGUUGGUAGGGUAACGGCCUACCAAGCCGACGAUGCGUAGGGGUUCUGAGAGGAAGGUCCCCCACAUUGGAACUGAGACACGGUCCAA
rnacentral:rRNA from 1 species